rnacentral:rRNA from 1 species
AAAGGACCCUUCCGGGGUUCGGUUAAAGGCGUCUUUUUGUACCGGACGCGGAAACGGUUAACGGUCGUAAUAUCCGGUGACUACUGACGGUACCGGAAGAAUAAGCACCCGGCUAACUACGUGC